GACGUAGGGCGCGAGCGUUGUCCGGAUUUAUUGGGCGUAAAGAGCUCGUAGGCGGUCUGUCGCGUCUGCUGUGAAAACUCGGGGCUUAACCCCGGGCCUGCAGUGGGUACGGGCAGACUAGAGUGCAGUAGGGGAGACUGGAAUUCCUGGUGUAGCGGUGAAAUGCGCAGAUAUCAGGAGGAACACCGAUGGCGAAGGCAGGUCUCUGGGCAUUAACUGACGCUGAGGAGCGAAAGCAUGGGGAGCGAACAGG
rnacentral:rRNA from 1 species